rfam:Picea glauca, whole genome shotgun sequence.
GCAACGGUGUCUUUAGACACCACCACUGCUGUCGGGAAAGCUUUG